rnacentral:rRNA from 1 species
CACGUAGUUAGCCGGCGCUUCUUCUGCAGGUACACGUCAACUUCGUCCCUGCUGAAAGAGGUUUACAACCCGAAGGCCGUCAUCCCCCACGCGGCGUCGCUGCGUCAGGCUUCCGCCCAUUGCGCAAUAUUCCCCACUGCUGCCUCCCGUAGGAGUCUGGGCCGUGUCUCAGUCCCAGUGUGGCCGGUCGCCCUCUCAGGCCGGCUACCCGUCGUCGCCUUGGUAGGCCACUACCCCCACCAACAAGCUGAUAGGCCGCGAGCCCAUCCCCAACCGAAAAAACUUUCCACCACCAGACCAUGCGAUCGGUGGUCGUAUCCGGUAUUAGACCCAGUUUCCCAGGCUUAUCCCAGAGUCAGGGGCAGGUUGCUCACGUGUUACUCACCCGUUCGCCGCUCGAGUACCCCCGAAGGGGCCUUUCCGCUCGACUUGCAUGUGUUAAGCACGCCGCCAGCGUUCGUCCUGAGCCAGGAUCGAAACUCU